rnacentral:rRNA from 1 species
UUAUUUGAGAUGUAAAUUUGGAAUGUUGGAGUAGUAAUAGAUAAGUUCUUGAAACUCAAAAAAUUUGGCGGUAUUUUAGACUGUUCAGAGGAAUCUGUAGUGUAAUCGAUAAUCCACGAUGGACCUAACUUAAAUUUGUAGUAUUCAGUAUGUAUACCGCCGUUAUUUGAAAAUUUUAUAAGAAUAAUAAUUUUCAAGAUUUUUUAUAAGAAAAUAAAUCAGGUCAAGGUGCAGCUAAUAUUUAAGUAUUAUAUGGAUUACAAUAAAUUUAUUUAUAUGAAUAAUAAUUUGAAAUUAGUUAUUUGAAGGUGGAUUUGAAAGUAAAUUUUUAAAGAUUAAAAAAUUGACUUUAGCUCUAAAAUAUGCACACAUCGCCCGUCACUCUUGUUAAUAAUAUAAGAUAAGUCGUAACAUAGUAGAUGUACUGGAAAGUGUAUCUAGAAUGACAAUUUAAAGCUUAUAAGAAAGCAUUUCAUUUACACUGAAAAGAUUGUUGUGCAAAUCAAUAUAAAUUGAUAAAAUAUAAUUAUUAAUUUUAUUUUUAUGAGUAUAUUUAUUAGAAAUAACUAUAAAUGUUGUUUAAGUAUUUUAUAAAGAAUAAAUUUUUAUUAUGAUAGAGAAUUAGUAAUGUAAAUGAAUUUUGAAAUAAUUGAAAAAUAUAUAAUUUAUAAGAAAAUUUAAUUUA